GUGGGGAAUAUUGGACAAUGGGCGAAAGCCUGAUCCAGCCAUGCCGCGUGUGUGAAGAAGGUCUUCGGAUUGUAAAGCACUUUAAGUUGGGAGGAAGGGCAGUAAGUUAAUACCUUGCUGUUUUGACGUUACCAACAGAAUAAGCACCGGCUAACUUCGUGCCAGCAGCCGCGGUCAUACGAAGGGUGCAAGCGUUAAUCGGAAUUACUGGGCGUAAAGCGCGCGUAGGUGGUUCAGCAAGUUGAAGGUGAAAUCCCCGGGCUCAACCUGGGAACUGCCUCCAAAACUACUGAGCUAGAGUACGGUAGAGGGUAGUGGAAUUUCCUGUGUAGCGGUGAAAUGCGUAGAUAUAGGAAGGAACACCAGUGGCGAAGGCGACUACCUGGACUGAUACUGACACUGAGGUGCGAAAGCGUGGGGAGCAAACAGGAUUAGAUACCCGAGUAGUCC
rnacentral:rRNA from 1 species